AUUUUUCCACUGGUCUUAUAGUUUUUGAACUUAAGUACUUAACUUAUUGCUGGAAGGUAGAUCGUCACUAGAUGGCAGUGCAGGAUCUACCAUUGUCAAUCAAUUGCAUAGUCAGUAGGUGUCAAAUGGCGUUACGGUAUUCACAACGUAAUGGAUAAUGGAAAUGUUUUUGUUUAUUAGAUAAUUUUCAUUCAAGAUGAAUGUUAAAAUCCACUUGAUUGCGACAGGACCAGGAUGUAAAUGGGACUAUGUCAUCACCUUUCAAAUUAUUAUUAGAGUACAAUCAAUUGAAUACCAUCAAUGAAUACCAUCAAUUUCCCAUAAGGAAAGGAGAAGAACCAUAGUCUGGCUUGUACCAAACUGGAUUGUACCAAACUGUGAAAGAAAUCAUGUGUCUGUUACUGAAACUGGCUCUCUCUGUUUGUGACAUCAGACCUUACAGUGUGUCACUCUGAAGCAGAGCUCCUGAAAUGAGAUUGAACGUUUUGAACCAUCUCAUGCCAAAGCUCAAGUUAAGCUCUGUUGGUUUUUCCUUCCUGUAAACCGAUGAUUACAACUAAUGAAAUGCAACUUAUUGUGUUGUUUGCAGAAGCAUUUAAAAGAGGUGGCUUUUUGGUUAGAGUUUCUUCGACAUCCGAUGCCAUGCAGAUCCUGCCGAGCGAUCUGAAUAUAUUUUAGCGCUCAGUCGGAACGGUGUUCACUUCCUCGACUAAUAGGUCACGUAAUUAAAUAACAUUGUGCUUCACAAAACUUUAAUCUUAAAUUUUUAAUAGAAAAAUUUGAUAAACAAUCAUUAUCUCUAGGCUAUAUCAAUUUGCAAAGUCAAAGCGAAAGAGGGUCUCCUUUUCAUGGAAUCAUCCGCAUCCAAUCAUAUCAAACGCACGAGACAUCCGCCUUGUCUGGCAACUUACCAUCCAGCUACGCAUCUUUCAACAGAGUGUUCAAGAGGAAAGUAAUUGACUAAAUGCCGACUCGAUGAUUUCCGUGCAAGAUGAGUGUGAAUCCAAGGAUAUUUGGUGAGCAGAAUGCAACGGACUAUGUUAUGUUUAACCAUUAGCUAAAUUCAAUGAAUACUGUCAAUUCCCCAGAACGAGAGGUUAAUAAUCAUACUGAAUCAAACGAGGUACAUAUUUGAACGAGAUUUUAAAAUGAUAACGAUUGGAAGCCCAUGAGGAAAUUUCGAAGAAUGGUACCUUCACGUUACCUUGAGGCGCUGAUUCGUCUCGAAGAUAAAAUGUAUAAAAAAUAAGUUAUUUUUAUAAAUUGAAGUGCAUAUCUGGGCUCCCUUCUUUUCUGUGGCCCCGUUUCCCCUUGACUCGUAAUAAGCCCGUAGGGGGUCAUGCCCCUACUGUGAUCAGCAGUAAAGG